rnacentral:rRNA from 1 species
UACGAAGGGGGCUAGCGUUGCUCGGAAUCACUGGGCGUAAAGGGUGCGUAGGCGGGUCUUUAAGUCCGGGGUGAAAUCCUGGAGCUCAACUCCAGAACUGCCUUUGAUACUGAAGAUCUUGAGUUCGGGAGAGGUGAGUGGAACUGCGAGUGUAGAGGUGAAAUUCGUAGAUAUUCGGAAGAACACCAGUGGCGAAGGCGGCUUACUGGUCCGGUACUGACGCUGAGGUGCGAAAGCGUGGGGAGCAAACAGG